CUCCGGCUGUCAUGUUUCACUUCCGGAGCUUGCGAACAAAAUAGAAUCGCUAAGGCAAAGAAAACCCUGCGAGUGGCGAGUGUUUUAAGAUCACACUCACAAACAACAUCCAAAGUGGUUAGUGGCAGUUGAGAGAGUGCCCCAAGACCCCGAAAACCAGCCGGGCAGACACGAACAACACCAGCAGCAGCACCAACAACAACAUCAUCAGCAGCAGCAUCAGGCUCGCUAGCAUUUCCCGCUUUUCGUUCUCGUCGCUGAAUAACAAAUCACAAAACCACGACAAACGAUGGCCGAUGCCGCCGAGAGUAAGCCACUGGCCGCCGAACAGCAGCUGCAGCAGCAGCCGCCGCAGCAGGAGCAGCAGAAUCCGCCGAAUCCGCAGGAGCAGGAUCACGAGCAGGAGCCGCUGGACGAGCUGCAGGGACAGCAGGGCCAGCCUGCUCCGCCCACCAAGGAAGUCAUCGCCACCAAAGUCACCGGCACCGUCAAGUGGUUCAACGUGAAGAGCGGCUACGGCUUCAUCAACCGCAACGACACCAGAGAGGACGUCUUCGUGCACCAGAGCGCCAUUGCGCGGAACAACCCCAAGAAGGCGGUCCGCUCGGUGGGCGAUGGUGAGGUCGUUGAGUUCGACGUGGUCAUUGGCGAGAAGGGAAAUGAGGCGGCCAACGUGACCGGUCCCUCCGGUGAGCCGGUGCGGGGCAGUCAGUUUGCGGCAGACAAGCGCCGUAACUUCCGUCCCUGGAUGAAGAAGAAUCGCCGUAAGGAUGGCGAAGUGGAAGGCGAAGACGUUGAAUCGCCGGCCCAGCAGCAGCAACAGCAGCAGGCGGCUCCGUCCGUUGAUGGACAGCCACAGCAGGUGCAAUCUGGACCGCGUCAGCCACGACAGAACUUCCGCCGAGGACCACCCGGUGGACCGCCCGGAGGACCUCGAGGUGGCCCCCGAGUCCCACCAGGCGGAGCUCCCGGUGGCCCCCGGCGCUACAACAACUACUAUCCGCGUCAGCCGCGACGCGGUCUGGGCGGCGGUGACGGCAGUGCCGAGCCCGGCGUCCACGAUCAGAAUCCGGAGGGUGUGCAGCGAGGCGAGGGUCAGGGACCGCGUCGCGGUGGCGGCCCACCAGGCGGACCCCAGAGGCGCUUCUUCCGACGCACCUUCAACAAUGGUCCACCGCCACCACGCCGCGAUGGCGGAGAAUACAUUCAAGGCCAGGGACCGCCACGCCCUCAACAGCCACGUCCACGUCGCCAGAGGAAACCAAAUGGCCCUGGCGGUGGUUCAGAGCAGCAGCCACAGCAGGUAAUGAACUAAUCACCACCACGACAGAAACAACUGAAACAUCUUCGCCAAAGCAAAACUACGAUAACAACAUCUAACUAGUAAACAUCAGCAACAGUCAGCGGCAUACCAUAACAACAAGAUGCAUUCAUACAUUAACCACUAACAAGCAGAACAGCCACUCGCACCGACACAAAAAUCAGAGAAACAGCGAUAAAGAGGAGAAACCCUAACAUUUAACACUUAACUUAGAGGCUUUGGGUCUAACAUUCUUAUAUUAUUAGUUACCUUACCUGUGACUAAUUGGCUAACAAACACACAUUUAAUUUAAACCCGAAACCCGCAUUUUACUUUCAACCAUUGUAAAAUUUUAUGUUAUACUUAUGUUUAUGAUUUCUACCCCGCGCUAUGUUCCCACACAAAUCCCUAGAACGGCGCUCAAGAGCUGCAAAAUACAACCACAGAGAGCACUGCAUAGAAAGGAUCGUCGAACCUUCAAAAAACCGUCAACAUCAUCAGCAGUAGCAGCAGCAUAAAACUACCAUCGCAGAAGCAGCAGCCUAUCGUCAACAUCAGCGAUCACUGCAAAAAGAUCAGCAAGUUUGCUAAAUGAGCUGCCGCGUUUUUUCGGUUUGUUUGCUUUUUGUUUUGUUUCGUAGGGCAGCAGAAUGAAUUGUACAACUCAUACAACCAACUAACAUCGCAAAAAUUUCUAUCAAAUUCAAAUUCAAAAAAAAAAAUCAAAUUUCCAUCAAGCCUGGCCGACAAAAAAUUGCAUAAUUGUGGAAUUUUAUUGUAAUAACCACCAUAACAAAGAAACAUUUCAAUUACACUGCAAUUUAGAUAGCGCCGGUAUACAAAUUACCUUAAUGAUUAUUACAAUUUUUAUUUAUUCUUGAAAGCAUUGUUACCGUUGUGCGUUAAGCAAACCCAUAACUCUAAGUUUCUCGUUUUAAAGAUCAUUAAAAACCUAUACAACCA